AGUGAACGCUGGCGGUAGGCCUAACACAUGCAAGUCGAACGGCAGCACAGGAGAGCUUGCUCUCUAGGUGGCGAGUGGCGGACGGGUGAGGAAUACAUCGGAAUCUGCCCAGUCGUGGGGGAUAACGUAGGGAAACUUACGCUAAUACCGCAUACGACCUUCUGGUGAAAGAGGGGGAUCGCAAGACCUCUCGCGAUUGGAUGAGCCGAUGUCGGAUUAGCUAGUUAGCGGGGUAAUGGCCCACCAAGGCGACGAUCCGUAGCUGGUCUGAGAGGAUGAUCAGCCACACUGGAACUGAGACACGGUCAAGACUCCUACGGGAGGCAGCAGUGGGGAAUAUUGGACAAUGGGCGCAAGCCUGAUCCAGCCAUACCGCGUGGGUGAAGAAGGCCUUCGGGUUGUAAAGACCUUUUGUUGGGAAAGAAAUCUUUCAGGCUAAUACCCUGGGAGGAUGACGGUACCCAAAGAAUAAGCACCGGCUAACUUCGUG
rnacentral:rRNA from 1 species